rnacentral:rRNA from 1 species
GCCAGACUCCUACGGGAGGCAGCAGUGGGGAAUAUUGCACAAUGGGGGAAACCCUGAUGCAGCGACGCCGCGUGAGUGAAGAAGUAAUUCGUUAUGUAAAGCUCUAUCAGCAGGGAAGAAAAUGACGGUACCUGACUAAGAAGCCCCGGCUAACUACGUGCCAGCAGCCGCGGUAAUACGUAGGGGGCAAGCGUUAUCCGGAUUUACUGGGUGUAAAGGGAGCGUAGACGGUUAUGCAAGUCUGAAGUGAAAGCCCAAGGCUCAACCAUGGGACUGCUUUGGAAACUGUAAAACUGGAGUGCAGGAGAGGUAAGCGGAAUUCCUAGUGUAGCGGUGAAAUGCGUAGAUAUUAGGAGGAACACCAGUGGCGAAGGCGGCGUACUGGACUGUAACUGACGUUGAGGCUCGAAGGCGUGGGGAGCAAACAGGAUUAGAUACCCUGGUAGAA